GGCUAGGUGGCGGAGUGGUUAACGCGGUAGACUCGAAUAUGCAUUAAUGCAUAGUUGCAAUCUACUUCCUUCGGGAGCGUCUGUUCGAAUCAGGCCCUAGUCG